rnacentral:lncRNA from 1 species
GAUGGUUAAGCACAACUAGUUGUAUUUGAGAUUUUGAGUUGUCCUUUUAGCCGAUGUAUUCCGGCGAAUCUCAUUGUAUUUUCCUUUAUUUUGAUGUACUUUUGUAUUAGUUAUCUCAAGCUAGAAGUGUAGUUGUGAACACGUUCUAGCUUGCGGGAGGCUUUGAUGUAAUCUUUUACUUUCACUUUUCUCAUUUGUAAUAUUUUU